rnacentral:rRNA from 1 species
GUCUACAGCCAUGCCACCCUGAACAAGCUUGAUCCUGUAUGAUUUCGGAAGCUAAGCAGGGUCGGGCCUGGUUAGUACUUGGAUGAGAGACCACCUAGGAAGACCAGGUGUUGUAGGCA